GCCAGUCGGAAUGUUCUAAGCAUGCGAGUCAUUGUAGUAAUACAAGGCAGGCGGCUCAGUAACGCGUAGUCAACCUACCCUAAGGACGGGGAUAACCUCGGGAAACUGAGAAUAAUACCCGAUAGAACAUAGCUCCUGGAAUGGUUUAUGUUUCAAAUAAUUUAUUGCCCUAGGAUGGGACUGCGGCCUAUCAGUUUGUUGGUGAGGUAAUGGCCCACCAAGACUAUUACAGGUACGGGCUCUGAGAGGAGUGGCCCGGAGAUGGGUACUGAGACACGGACCCAGGCCCUAUGGGGCGCAGCAGGCGAGAAAACUUUGCAAUGUGCGAAAGCACGACAAGGUUAAUCCGAGUGGUUUCUGCUAAAGGAACCUUUUGUCAGUCCUAGAAACACUGAUGAAUAAGGGGUGGGCAAGUUCUGGUGUCAGCCGCCGCGGUAAAACCAGCACCUCAAGUGGUCAGGAUGAUUAUUGGGCCUAAAGCAUCCGUAGCCGGCUUUGUAAGUUUUCGGUUAAAUCCAUGCGCUCAACGUAUGGGCUGCCGGGAAUACUGCAAAGCUAGGGAGUGGGAGAGGUAGACGGUACUCGGUAGGAAGGGGUAAAAUCCUUUGAUCUAUUGAUGACCACCUGUGGCGAAGGCGGUCUACCAGAACACGUCCGACGGUGAGGGAUGAAAGCUGGGGGAGCAAACCGGAUUAGAUACCCGGGUAGUCCCAGCUGUAAACUAUGCAAACUCAGUGAUGCAUUGGCUUGAUGCCAAUGCAGUGCUGCAGGGAAGCCGUUAAGUUUGCCGCCUGGGAAGUACGUACGCAAGUAUGAAACUUAAAGGAAUUGGCGGGGGAGCACCACAAGGGGUGAAGCCUGCGGUUCAAUUGGAUUCAACGCCGGG
rnacentral:rRNA from 1 species